AUGCGCCCCUUCUCCUCCCUGGCUCUUCCUCGCCUGCGCGCACCUCACGGCGGCGAGAACGAUGCCCCUUCGUGCGACCCCUUCUUCUGCUUCUUCUUCCAGCACAAGGCCCCUUCCUCGCGUGCCAGCCAUCGACGUGGCCUGCUGCCGGCCUCGGCAAGGCCAGCGCUGCCAGCUCCUCCUCCACCUCACCUCUCCGCAACCCCCGCUGCUGCUUGUUGCUUGCUCGUCUCACACCGCUCCUCCAUGCCCCAUCGGCAUCCUCUGCAGCGCACCUCCCGACGCCGCCCCACAUCCAUUGCCCUUGAUGUUGCUGCUUCUAGACCACCAUGGCCACCUUCCCAUGUUUCUUCUUAG
rnacentral:rRNA from 1 species